UAGAAAUUAAAAAUACAUUUUAAGCUGGG
rnacentral:piRNA from 1 species